GGCCUUGCAUGGCGAUGCCACCGCCCCUAUAUCAGAGUCGCCGUCGUGCUCACGCACUUGGCUAUGGCGAUAAACGGCUCGUGGAAUAAUCGUUGUGGACCCGGGGGCAGUGCCCGGCGUCUCCACCAUAAUACUCUCCUACCCGGCAACGGCGGAGACGAUGGGGACGAAACAGGAUCGACACGCGUGGUAAAGACCAGUCUUUUGCCCGGCAUUGUACCGCCGUCAUCGGGCUAAACUCAGAAGUGCCAACGAUAACACGAAGGUGCUCGCUGUCGCUGCAUAAGCGAUAAGCGCGGUUCGGGAGGGCACCGGGCAACAGAAGCCCUCCCACU
rnacentral:tmRNA from 2 species